AUGGGUGCCCCGUCCACAUCCGGGCUUCAGGCUACGCGUGGUGGACCGACUGUGAUGAGGGAGGACGUCGAGGGCAUGUUGUUGGACCAGCGGCAUGUUGUUGGACCAGCGCAUCCUCAUCGAGAUGAGGUUGCGGACCGUGAAGCUUGAAAUCAUUUAAUACGUGACCGAGGAGUUUGCCAGACUGAGAGACUUCAUAUCUAGCUUGGUGCCCCCGUCCGGUGGUACUUCCACUUCAGCUGCAGCUCCUGUCGUGAAUGAGCCAAACAUUUGGGAUGGCCCCCACGAAGGUAUAAGUUUGUUCUACUGUAACUUCCACUUACAACAUGUUUGUAGAGCCGUGCAAUUUUUCCUAUGCGUUCGCUUUCAAAUGUAUUUUUUUAAUUGCCAAAUUACUUAGAUGUAGAUGAAGGAGACAUGGACCUGUGCCCGAAUGACGGUGGCCGUCCUUCGCCUACCGGGAACUUGGAGGUGAAUGAUAUUUCAGUUAGUUAUGUGUAACACAUAUUUGUAUUUGAUGUCAUCUCAUCUCGUGAUAUGCAACUAUAUUCAAUUUAAGUCCUUCGUAAUUUUUUU
rnacentral:lncRNA from 1 species